AGAGAGGGCAAGCGCCAAACAAUGAGAAAAAAUCAUGACAUGACAUGGCACCAUUUUCAUUUCAAUAAAAUUAUAAUGAUAUAGAAAUGGAAGAAGAUUGGGUUGGGGAGAAUGGGCGAAAGUGCAGGGAAGGCUUUGGACAGGAGGAUGUUGGAUGAUGGAGAGGCAAGAUCCAUGUGGGUAAGGUCUUCUCAGAAGCUACAAGAAUAUCAAAUUCCAUUCUUUCUCUUUUUCCCUUUCAUAUAUAUGAGAGAGAGAGAGAGAGCAGCUUCCUGGAAAAAGUUGAUGGGCGGUAUCAACAACCAUAUCCAUAGGGAGAGAGCUGUUCUGCAUACAAUAAAUGUAUUUUUCAAGGCGAACUUGUUGACCCAAAAGGAUAUUACUCUAUGCUUAUGUAAAUUGCGGGGUGGAAUGGAAAUCUAAUAGAUUAUUUCUAGAUGCAUCCUCUCUGGCAGAAAGAGUAGGCCUGCAUAAUGCAGUGCCUUAGCGAGCUUUCCAUGAGUGCUUCCUCAGUCGGUUUCCUAUCCCUUUGUGUGGCCUGAUCCUGAGGCCUACUGCUCUCACCCGCCUGUAUGUCGUAUUAAGACAUUGAGAUUAUGCACACUUCAGCCUUAUAUUGGGACUUUCAAUGGCAGGGUCAGAGUUUUGGAGCUCUGCAAUUUUUGACUCUCUUCCUUGGUUAUCAACAUGCUUCACCUCCAAUGGCUGUCCUGUUCGCCUGUAGCUUUGAAGCAAAAUAGAGUGCUUUUUGUGGGAAAUUGAAAAGGUGUUUGAAACUGAGAUCUUGCGUUAUGUCUUUGAAGAACUAGUUGCAUUUUCCAGGAGAGAGAUUCUUACAAAUUAUAAAGGAAGCACUGUUGAGUUGGUCACAAGUUCUAACAAAAUUAGUUUAUCUAAUGCAAGCUAUUAGAGUUUCGAGGCUGCAAAAUGCUAUUUUGAUGGUGAUUUAUAAGACACUUUACACCGCCAAUUAAGAUAUGUGACGUUACCAAUACGAAGUGCAAUUUCCCAAAUUAUAUUUUUCAAUGCGUGUAAUUAAAAAGAAAAAUACUUGCAUA